rnacentral:rRNA from 1 species
GACGAACGCUGGCGGCGUGCUUAACACAUGCAAGUCGAACGGAAAGGCCCUGCUUUUGUGGGGUGCUCGAGUGGCGAACGGGUGAGUAACACGUGAGUAACCUGCCCUUGACUUUGGGAUAACUUCAGGAAACUGGGGCUAAUACCGGAUAGGAGCUCCUGCUGCAUGGUGGGGGUUGGAAAGUUUCGGCGGUUGGGGAUGGACUCGCGGCUUAUCAGCUUGUUGGUGGGGUAGUGGCUUACCAAGGCUUUGACGGGUAGCCGGCCUGGGAGGGUGACCGGGCACAGUGGGGCUGGGGUACGGCCCAGACUCCUACGGGAGGCAGCAGUGGGGAAUAUUGCACAAUGGGCGGAAGCCUGAUGCAGCAACGCCGCGUGCGGGAUGACGGCCUUCGGGUUGUAAACCGCUUUCGCCUGUGACGAAGCGUGAGUGACGGUAAUGGGUAAAGAAGCACCGGCUAACUACGUG